rnacentral:piRNA from 1 species
UUAACUUUAAUAUAUGUAAGUCCUAAGGUA